AAUAUUGCGCCGGCUGAACGGAUAACUCUGAUGAAGUUAAUUAUGACCUUACUUAUGUCCAAUAUUU
rnacentral:tRNA from 1 species